AUGGAAGUUCCCAGGCUAGAGGGUGAAUCAGAGCUGUAGCUGCCAGCCUACACCAUAGCCACAGCAACACAGGAUCUGAGCCGCAUCUACAAACUACACUACAACUCAACAACUGCUGGUCCUUAACCCACUGAGUGAGGCCAGGGAUCAAAACCAUGUCCUCAUGAAUACUAGUUGGGUUUGUUACUGCUGAGCUACAAUGAGAACUCUGGUCACUUUUUAAAUGUUAGGACAGUAAAUUGUUUUAUUAUUUUUUCCUGUCAUCUUUAUUUAAUGAUUUUUAUUCUUUGAUUGCUUCAAGUUUUCUCUUGGAGAAUAAUAUCUACCCCACUCUCAAGCCAUGGACUUUGGGUAAGGUCUCAACUCUAGUGUUGAACAUAUGUCCCUAAGGCUGGCCAGGCAGCGUUCUGGAUUUCUGUUGUUGUGCUAACUCCAUGAUAGACACAUGACCCGCUGUUCUCUAAGCAGUGCAUUCUAGGUCUUACAAAGAAAUUUUCAGAAGCUGCUGCUGUUAUUGGUCCAGGAAGAGGACCCCUAUUCAACAUAAGCUGUCUGUCAGUGGAAUAGAGGUGGAGUUGUCAGGCCCAAAGAAAUAAAAUAACCAGGCCCUCAAGUCCAUAUCUUUCCCAUCUUCUUAUGAAACGGCCACAGUAGAAGUUAUCUUAAUCUUUUUCUUUAAAACAUUUUCAGUUGAGGGUUUUUUUUUAAUUUUUAUUUUUUACCAUUGUUAUCAAAGGAAUCCUAAAUGAUAAAGAAUCUGCAGUUCUUUAGAUUUCUCCAUAAUUUUUAAACCUUAUUUUUUAGAGCAGUUCUAGGUUCAUAGCUAAAUUGAGAGGAAGGUAUGGAGAUUUCCCACAUAUUUUUUUAAGCAAAAAAAAGUUUACAUGUUGUAUUUUAGAUAUGUAUAUAUUACUGCUAUACUGAAAUAAACAUUUUUCAUUGCUAGAUACUCACAAUACAUACUAUAUCUACAAUACCAUAUGCUAGAUACUAUCUUAGAUGAUAGAAUCAAAUGGGAUUUCCUCAUAUUUGUCAGCUUAUAUGUUUUUGCCUUAUAGUUAUAUAUACGUUAUCACAGACUUUUUAGUAAUCCCCUCAAAAAUACUUUUGAAAUUUGAGACAUUCCUCCACCAACUAUCUCUUUUCUAUCAGUAGUUUUCAGUAACAGAGAAAAAUUAGUUAUCAUAGUUGUCAUUAUAGAGUUUCAUAUUUAGAACUCUAAACUUUACUCUCCCAUUGAGUAGGAUAACCUGUUGAAUGUCUUCUAUGAAAUCAAAGAGAACUCAGCUCUUUGCCCUAUUGAUGAAUUAUCAAUAGUCAGGACCAAAAAAGAAAAAAAAUGGAGAACUCUAUCUCCAUAUACCUUGCUCACUUAAAAAAAGGAGGAAAAUGUCACUUGAAUCUGUCAAAAUCAGACACUCAUGUUUCCCUUCUUAAGGGAUAUCUUGAGUGGCUUCUGUUACGUCCCUGAUUAUAGGUGACAGCCUGACAACAGUGGGACAUUUUGAUAGGAGCCUUUACUUCUGAAAACUGAGACCAAAUUAUCUUUCUGUUGAACUUCCUAAACCAUGUGCAUAGAGCAGAAACACUAUUUUUUUGCCAGAUUCAUUGAACAUAGAUCUGUAUAGUGCUGUAUUGUUUGCUGUUAAUACUAUUCAGGUGAUUUGGGUGUUGGUGAAUAAGAUAUAUAUUGUGCUAGCUCUUUCAUUGAAAUGAAAUGUUAAUCCAUCUUUGCAUUUUGUUUAAAUAUUAUUUAUCCUAUUUAUGAUUAUAGUUUAAGUAGAAUUGUUUCAACUAUGAGAUUCAUGACCUGUUGCAUUUUGUUGGAUUUAAUAAAUAGUUUUUAUGAGAUAUUUAAAACACAAAUAUGGUAAAAUAUUAGUUAUUUGCCUGAAAUUUCUGCUUACAAUCCCUUCAGAUAAUUCUGUUAUAAAAUAAAACUUUUUAAAGGAUUUUCUAGAUCUUUAAUUUGUCUCUGUUUAUUAAUGUUGUCAGGCUUUUUUCUUCCUGUCACUGGGAUCUUGGGGCUUGUCACCACAUCUAUCACCAUUUGCCAAUAUAACAGGAUCAAAAUAAUUGUUACCUGCCCAAGGUCAUACAACUUGUAUAACUGGAAUUCUUAACAAGAAAUGACUUGUGAGCCCUAAUCUUAAUGGAACUGCUUGCCUGCUUAGUAGACCAUUCUGCUUUUAAAGCUGCCCAGUGGAUUAGCCUGCCUUGGCAGUGAAAGCUUGGUUAUUUCCACCAUAUUUUUGGUCACUCUUAGGCAUUAAAACUUAAACUUAGUAACUGCAAAGUCUUGUCAUGUAUACUAUUCAAAAUUUAGAACUUGGUUUAAAAUCAAGACUUUAUUACAUACCUGGGCAUAGAUCUGUUGUAAACUGAUUCUGCUUUCAUUUUCCACUCAGUGUUUCAGCUUCUCCCCAGCUUGUCACAGUUGGAUCAAGAAUAAAAGAAUGAUACAUAACGGUGUUCUUUCUUGUCUGGUAAUGUCCAGAGAUGGCGUCUCCCUCUCUGUAUUAAGCAGGAGUUUAGGCUUACUCCUCCAUACAGGAAUCAGUCUUGUAGAGAUCUGAGGACCCUCCUCCUCUCCCUCCCCUAUUAGUUGGGAGUUCUCAUCUAAUAAGGGAGAUGAAUGGCAUAGUAGCUUUCGAUUAUGUCUUACUCCUCCUUACUCAAACCUAGGAACAUGUCUCUUGCAUAUGGCAUAUGCAUAAUUUAUACCUAAUCCACCAAAAGCAUUUAUGCUCUCAUUUUCCCACAAGGUAUCUGGGAGUGUAGCUGCACCCUAAAUAUCAGUCUUCUCUUCCGAAGUCCCUUGCUGAUUCUUUCAACUUCUCUACUCUUUAGAUACCACAGAUGUUCCAACUUAAUCCUUUUAGCUGCUCCAGGUUUCAAAAGACACACUGAAUUCUUAGAGUUAAUUUCAAAUCAUGGUGCUAACUUGAAAUAAAAAACAGCCAUCCCGCCGUUUUCUUUGGGAUAGGUGAUGUCCUGACCUAGAGAAAGUUACAGUUUAGCUGAACACAUCUUUUUGUUGGACUGUACACAGAAUAAAACAGAAUUUGGCAUACUAUUCAUGAGAAUAAUAUAAAAGCAACAAAAUAAUGUUCAGUAAAUACUAAAUGCAGCUGGCUCUUCUGCUUAUAAAACUAUGGUGGUGUGAUUUAAAGUCCUUGAAUUUUUUGUCUAACUUUAAGAAAAGCUAAGCUUUGAUGACGUGAUUAAAAACAACUUCCAUAUACCUUAUAUAGCUAACAUCUUAGCAAUUAGAACUGUCACCACCUAAUCGGACUCCCUAUUUCUUUGUGCCCAUUCUGUAACUAUAUUUAGUCAGAGUGAAGGGAUAAAAUACUAUGAUAAAUAUGUACUAUUAAAAGGAUAGACACCACAGGACAGAAAGACAUAUAGCAAUAUGAAUGAGGAAGGAAACUGUGACAAAAGAAAUAAAUGACACAUGUAGCUUAGACACCUGAGUAGGGACAGUUUCGAUGAAGAUGAAAGACAGGAAAAUUAAAACUAGAGGAGAGAGAGAAAAAAAGAGAUUACUGGAAAAUGAUAUAGACCUCCCAGGCAUGGUUUCAAAAGCUCACUGAGAUAAGAAAAGCCUUUAAAAAGAUCAUUAAUCACUGGUAUUUCAAUUAGCUAAUAUUGACUGGGAUGGCAAUUAUGGCAUUGAUAAGAAAGGGCUUCUUUUCCUGGAGGUAACACAGUCUGUUUCCUGACAUAUUCUUUUAACAAUCCACAGGAGCCUAUACUAUUAUACAGUUAGCCCUAAUGUGGCUGGAAAAUGAGACAAGGAUGAAAAAUAAGAGAGUGGUAUAGAGUCAUCUCAAGUCUGGUGAUCACAAUGUCAUCAGAAUGUCAAUGCCCUUGAGGUUGUAUGUGAAGGUAACAGAACAGAAAUUGGGCUUGAGUAAAUAAAUGACAGAGGCCAUUAGGAAAUAUGGCAUAAGUUUUUUAAAGUUGUUUAAAUCAAUUUGAGUAAAUUUAUGAAAAUACAUUUUUUUAAAUGGCAAACAGUUGAAUAGCUUUGUUAUUAUAGAAAACCUUUUUCUUUCUCUGAAAGAAAAUGUAGUAAUUUUACUUUCUAAAUAUUUUCCCAUGGUUUUGGGAGAGAUAGAGCAGUCUCAGAACUUCUUCUUGAGAGGUCAGUUUUUCAGAAUAUUAUUUUACCUCCUGCUGGUUGUUAUACGUGCAUAGCUUUAAGUGUAGCUUUUUAAGUAUUGCCUAAAAGUACCAGGCUAUCAUCAUAGCACAUGUGAUUAAUAGAAACAGGAAGAGUAUAUUGAGAAAAGAGACAGAUCCACAUACUAAUAAUGUUUUACAGUUUUUAAAAGCCAAAGAGACUCCAACUUUAACUCAUUUUUUCCCCAGUACUUUUUUAUUUUUUAAUUGAAGUAUACUUGGUUUAUAAUGUGUGUUAGUUUCAAGUAUACAGCAAAGUGACUCAACUAUAUCUGUUUAUCUGUACAUUCUUUGGCAGAUUCUUUUCCCUGAUAGGUUAUUAUAAAAUAUUUAGUAUACUUUCUUAUGCUAUACAGUAGGACCUUCUUGACCACGUAUUUCAUAUGUAGUAUGUGUAUAUGUUAAUACCAAAUUUCUAAUUUAAUCCUCCCAUAACUUUCCCCGUUGGUAGUCAUAAGUUUGUUUACUAUGUCUGUGAGUUUAUUUCUGUUUCAUAUGUAAGUUAAUUUGUACCAUUUUUUUAGGAUUCCACAUAUAAACAAUAUUAUAUUUGUCUUUCUCUGGCUUACUUCACUUAAUACGAUAAUCCCUACAUCCAUCAUGUGGCUGCAAAUGGCAUUAUUCCAUUCCUUUUUAUUGCUGAGUAAUAUUCCAUUGUAUAUAUGUAUCACAUCUUCCUUCUCUUCAUCUAUUGAUGGACAUUCAGAAUGUUUACAUGUCUUGAGUAUUGUAAAUGGUGCUGCAGUGAACACUGAAAUGCAUGUAUCCUUUCAAAUUAUGGUUUUCUCCAGAUGUAUGCCCAGGAAUGGGAUUACUGGAUCAUAUGGUAGAUUCUAUUUUAGUUUUUUAAGGAGCCUCCAUACCAUUCUGCAAAGUGGCUAUACCAAUUCACAUUCUCCAUAGUGUAGGAGGGCAACUUAUGCUAACUUUAAGAGAAAAAAAAUAUAUCAAAAAGAAAUAUAGACAUUAAGCUGUGACAUUAAGUUAUCCAUCCAUAUUUUCUGGAGAACAAACUACAAAAACAGAAAUUCAAACUUAAUAUUUUCCUAUCUGAGAUUGGAGAAAAUAAAAAGAAUAUGCGAUGAAUGCAAAUGCAUUCACGUAAAUAUUUAACCUAUAAUAUACUUGCAUACUCUAGGCUCUGUGGUGGAAUAAUGUUUCAUUAACUGCGUAACAUAACUAAUCAAUUUUUUCUUAACCUUUAAUUCAUUAAAUUUUUUUUAGAGAUGUAUUCUAAAGUGUGUUGGUGUAAGGCAGUGACUCCAUCAUCAGUGCCAGACCUUAAGGGACCAAGAAAAGGAGAGGUUUCCAAGGUCUAUAGGAGAGUUAUGCAGAGGCCACUUCAUGGGUGGGAGAAGUGACCUUUUGGGGAAACACCUAGCCAGUUAUUCUUCAAGGAGGAAACUGGGAAGAUAAAUACCCUGACCUCUCUUUCCUCAUUCUGACCACCUGCUUGGUUCCCAUUAGUGUAACCUAUCAGGAAGCUAGAGGGGACAAGACACCAUUGCUGUCAUUUCUGCAGGUCCUAUGCCUAGAAAACAGAGCAGGUGGAACAGUGUACUAGAAUCUGGAGAAGCAGAUGAUAGGUGUCCAGCCUGAUGUACAAAGUUGUACAUGUGAAGACAUAUGUAGACACAGAUUCUUAAGGGCCUCAUUUUUUUUUAUAUAUUUUUAUUUUUUUCAUUAUAGUUGGUUUACAGUAUUCUGUCAAUUUUCUACUGUACAGCAUGGUGACCCAGUUACACAUACAUGUAUAUAUUCUUUUUUCUCACAUCAUCAGGCUCUAUCAUAAGUGACUAAAUAUAGUUCCCAUUGCUACACAGCAGGAUCUCAUUGCUAAUCCAUUCCAAAGGCAAUAGUCUGCAUCUAUUAACC
rnacentral:lncRNA from 1 species